UACGAAGGGGGCUAGCGUUGCUCGGAAUUACUGGGCGUAAAGCGCACGUAGGCGGUCUUUUAAGUCGGGGGUGAAAUCCUGGAGCUCAACUCCAGAACUGCCUUCGAUACUGGAAGACUUGAGUCCGGGAGAGGUGAGUGGAACUGCGAGUGUAGAGGUGAAAUUCGUAGAUAUUCGCAAGAACACCAGUGGCGAAGGCGGCUCACUGGCCCGGUACUGACGCUGAGGUGCGAAAGCGUGGGGAGCAACAGG
rnacentral:rRNA from 1 species